UACAGAGGUCCCAAGCGUUGUUCGGAUUUAUUGGGCGUAAAGGGCGCGUAGGCGGCCACGCACGUCCGUUGUGAAAUCGCCCGGCUCAACUGGGCGGGGUCAGCGGAUACGGUGUGGCUAGAGCAAGCUAGGGGGCAAUGGAAUUCCCGGUGUAGUGGUGGAAUGCGUAGAUAUCGGGAGGAACACCAGUGGCGAAGGCGGUUGCCUGGAGCUUUGCUGACGCUGAUGCGCGAAAGCGUGGGGAGCGAUCCGG
rnacentral:rRNA from 1 species